GCCAUCCUAGCUCAGUUGGUAGAGCAGCUGCCUCGUAAGUAGCAGGUCGUCGGUUCGAGUCCGAUGGGUGGCU
rnacentral:tRNA from 1 species